rnacentral:tRNA from 1 species
GCCCGCCUAGCUCAAUCGGAUAGAGCGUCAGACUCUUACAGUGUCUAUGGGCAAAGGCGAUCUGAAGGCUGCGAGUUCGACCCUCGCGGUGGGCU